GUCACAGAUCUGCAUAGAGUCAGAGUCACCUCUCAUCUGCAGUGCAUCAGUGGUAGGACCUUUAGGUCCCUUUUGAAAUUUUGUUUUUACAUUUUGUAAUGGGUAAUAGUUUGUGAUUUAUAAAUUAUAAACUCGUGUAAAUCGUAAAUUGAUAUAAUCAUAUGUUGAUGCACAUAUUUUGUAAAAUUUAAUUAAUUAAUAUAAUUUGAGAAUAU
rnacentral:misc_RNA from 1 species